CGGAGCGUAGCGCAGUCCGGUAGCGCACCGGUCUGGGGGACCGGGGGUCGCGAGUUCAAAUCUCGCCGUUCCGACCA
rnacentral:tRNA from 1 species